rnacentral:rRNA from 1 species
GCCCUUAGAGUUUGAUCCUGGCUCAGGAUGAACGCUAGCUACAGGCUUAACACAUGCAAGUCGAGGGGAAACGACAUCGAAAGCUUGCUUUCGAUGGGCGUCGACCGGCGCACGGGUGAGUAACGCGUAUCCAACCUGCCCAUCACUUGGGGAUAACCUUGCGAAAGUAAGACUAAUACCCAAUGACGUCUCUAGAAGACAUCUGAAGGAGAUUAAAGAUUUAUCGGUGAUGGAUGGGGAUGCGUCUGAUUAGCUUGUUGGCGGGGUAACGGCCCACCAAGGCGACGAUCAGUAGGGGUUCUGAGAGGAAGGUCCCCCACAUUGGAACUGAGACACGGUCCAAACUCCUACGGGAGGCAGCAGUGAGGAAUAUUGGUCAAUGGGCGAGAGCCUGAGCCAGCCAAGUAGCGUGCAGGAUGACGGCCCUAUGGGUUGUAAACUGCUUUUAUAAGGGAAUAAAGUGAGCCUCGUGAGGCUUUUUGCAUGUACCUUAUGAAUAAGGACCGGCUAAUUCCGUGCCAGCAGCCGCGGUAAUACGGAAGGUCCGGGCGUUAUCCGGAUUUAUUGGGUUUAAAGGGAGCGUAGGCCGGAGAUUAAGCGUGUUGUGAAAUGUAGACGCUCAACGUCUGCACUGCAGCGCGAACUGGUUUCCUUGAGUACGCACAAAGUGGGCGGAAUUCGUGGUGUAGCGGUGAAAUGCUUAGAUAUCACGAAGAACUCCGAUUGCGAAGGCAGCUCACUGGAGCGCAACUGACGCUGAAGCUCGAAAGUGCGGGUAUCGAACAGGAUUAGAUACCCUGGUAGUCCGCACGGUAAACGAUGGAUGCCCGCUGUUGGUCUGAAUAGGUCAGCGGCCAAGCGAAAGCAUUAAGCAUCCCACCUGGGGAGUACGCCGGCAACGGUGAAACUCA